CACCAUGACUCUCAUCAACCUCCUCAUCUGGACGCUGGCCUGCUGCAGCUUCACAGGAUGCAGCGGCCAGAUGACUGUGACUCAGCCUCCAGUCGUGACAUUUACUCCAGGAUCCACUGUCAUGCUGACCUGUAACACCAACCCCAAAGUUCAGAGUUGUGGUUCUGGUGAUUGUGUAUCCUGGUACCAGCAGAAACCUGGACAGGCUCCCAAGCUUCUUAUAUACUAUGUAUCAACUCUAUAUUCAGGAACUUCCUCUCGAUUCAGUGGCAGUAGCUCUGGUUCUAGGUACACCUUAACCAUCAGCGGUGUUAAGGCAGAAGAUGUUGGAGAUUAUUACUGUCAGAGUUAUCCUAGCACUGGAGUGUUCACACAGUGA